rnacentral:piRNA from 1 species
CAACUGAGCACACAGAACUACCAUGGA